GUUCCAUUCGACUAGCGGUUAGGUCGCUUCCCUUUCAAGGAAGUAGCACGAGUUCAAAUCUCGUAUGGAAUACCA
rnacentral:tRNA from 1 species